rnacentral:tRNA from 1 species
GCGCGGGUAGCUCAGCGGUAGAGCAACUGGUUUACACCCAGUCGGUCGGCGGUUCGAUCCCGUCCCCGCGCA